rnacentral:lncRNA from 1 species
GUUGUUCGUCACCCCCCGGUUAUUUUGCUGCAGCCGGACUGCGGCAGAUGGUGGCCCGUUACGGGGAGCCCCGGGACACUCGGGGGUAAGUGACGAAAAAAAGCUGCCCGUCCAUAGAUAGGACGGGAGCAAUCUGCUCGUCCCUAGGCAGAUAGGGCGAGAGGAAAAAUGGCCAUUUCGAGAAAAUGGAGAAGAUUGAUACAGUAUGUUUGUGUCUUGUUUUGUCU